rnacentral:misc_RNA from 1 species
CAAAUCCAUCCACGUCUCAUUCUUGAGACCACGUUGAAAUGUUCCCUAGUGUGCGGCGCCGUCUCCUCGACUCUGGUCUUGGGGCGCGCGCACGCACUAGGCUUGUAAACUAGUACCAUCUGUUGCUCAAAAGUAUUUUCUUGAUGUCAUCACGCAUCAAGGCAAACAAAGUA